rnacentral:rRNA from 1 species
GAUGAACGCUGGCGGCGUGCUUAACACAUGCAAGUCGAUCGGAAAGGCCUGUACUUGUACAGGUACUCGAGUGGCGAACGGGUGAGUAACACGUGGGUGAUCUGCCCUGCACUGUGGGAUAAGCCCGGGAAACUGGGUCUAAUACCAUAUAGGACCACUUCUUGGAUGUUGUGGUGGAAAGCUUUUGCGGUGUGGGAUGAGCCUGCGGCCUAUCAGCUUGUUGGUGGGGUAAUGGCCUACCAAGGCGGCGACGGGUAUCCGGCCUGAGAGGGUGUACGGAAACAUUGGGACUGAGAUACGGCCCAGACUCCUACGGGAGGCAGCAGUGGGGAAUAUUGCACAAUGGGCGCAAGCCUGAUGCAGCGACGCCGCGUGGGGGAUGACGGCCUUCGGGUUGUAAACUCCUUUCGCUAUCGACGAAGCCACCUUGGGUGGUGACGGUAGGUAGAUAAGAAGCACCGGCUAACUACGUGCCAGCCGCCGCGGUAA